rnacentral:rRNA from 1 species
CUCAGAUCAUGUAAGAUUUUAAUGAUCGAACAGAUCAAAAUUUUAAACUUUUGCAUUUAAAUUUUAUCUUAAUCCAACAUCGAGGUCGCAAACUUUUUUUUUUAUUUGUACUAAAAAAAAAUAUUACGCUGUUAUCCCUAAGGUAAUUUUUUCUUAUAAUCAUUAUUAAUGGAUCAUUUAAUCAUUUAUUUAUGUUUAAUUUUUAAAAAAAGUUAAUUUAAUUUUUCUAUCACCCCAAUAUAAUAAUUAAUUUUAUUUCAAUAAAAAUUUUUAUAUAAUUUUAAAAUAAAAAUAAAUAUAAAACUCUAUAGGGUCUUCUCGUCUUUUAAAAUUAAUUUAGCUUUUUAACUAAAAAAUAAACUUCUAAAAAUAAAUAAGAGACAGUUUAUAUUUCAUCAAAUCUUUCAUACAAGUUUUCAAUUAAAAAACUAAUGAUUAUGCUACCUUUGUACAGUCAUUAUACUGCAGCCCUUUAAUUAUUAUCAGUGGGCAGAUUAGACCUUAAAUUAUAUUCAAAAAGACAUGUUUUUG